rnacentral:rRNA from 1 species
GAUGAACGCUGGCGGCGUGCCUAAUACAUGCAAGUCGAGCGAACAGACGAGGAGCUUGCUCCUUCGACGUUAGCGGCGGACGGGUGAGUAACACGUAGGUAACCUACCUAUAAGACUGGGAUAACUUCGGGAAACCGGAGCUAAUACCGGAUAAUAUUUCGAACCGCAUGGUUCGAUAGUGAAAGAUGGCUUUGCUAUCACUUAUAGAUGGACCUGCGCCGUAUUAGCUAGUUGGUAAGGUAACGGCUUACCAAGGCAACGAUACGUAGCCGACCUGAGAGGGUGAUCGGACACACUGGAACUGAGACACGGUCCAGACUCCUACGGGAGGCAGCAGUAGGGAAUCUUCCGCAAUGGGCGAAAGCCUGACGGAGCAACGCCGCGUGAGUGAUGAAGGUCUUCGGAUCGUAAAACUCUGUUAUUAGGGAAGAACAAACGUGUAAGUAACUGUGCACGUCUUGACGGUACCUAAUCAGAAAGCCACGGCUAACUACGUG